AUUGAACGCUGGCGGCAGGCUUAACACAUGCAAGUCGAGCGGGGUUUUCGGACCUAGCGGCGGACGGGUGAGUAAUGCGUAGGAAGCUGCCCGAUAGAGGGGGAUACCAGUUGGAAACGACUGUUAAUACCGCAUAAUGUCUACGGACCAAAGUGUGGGACCUUCGGGCCACAUGCUAUCGGAUGCGCCUACGUGGGAUUAGCUAGUUGGUGAGGUAAUGGCUCACCAAGGCGACGAUCUCUAGCUGGUUUGAGAGGAUGAUCAGCCACACUGGAACGGGGACACGGGCCAGACUCCCACGGGAGGCAGCAGUGGGGAAUAUUGGACAAUGGGCGCAAGCCUGAUCCAGCCAUGCCGCGUGUGUGAAGAAGGCCUUCGGGUUGUAAAGCACUUUCAGCGAGGAGGAAGGGUGGUGUGUUAAUAGCACAUCAUUUUGACGUUACUCGCAGAAGAAGCACCGGCUAACUCUGUGCCAGCCGCCGCCGUAAUAC
rnacentral:rRNA from 1 species